rnacentral:rRNA from 3 species
GUGGGUAGUUUGACUGGGGCGGUCUCCUCCUAAAGAGUAACGGAGGAGCACGAAGGUUGGCUAAUCCUGGUCGGACAUCAGGAGGUUAGUGCAAUGGCAUAAGCCAGCUUGACUGCGAGCGUGACGGCGCGAGCAGGUGCGAAAGCAGGUCAUAGUGAUCCGGUGGUUCUGAAUGGAAGGGCCAUCGCUCAACGGAUAAAAGGUACUCCGGGGAUAACAGGCUGAUACCGCCCAAGAGUUCAUAUCGACGGCGGUGUUUGGCACCUCGAUGUCGGCUCAUCACAUCCUGGGGCUGAAGUAGGUCCCAAGGGUAUGGCUGUUCGCCAUUUAAAGUGGUACGCGAGCUGGGUUUAGAACGUCGUGAGACAGUUCGGUCCCUAUCUGCCGUGGGCGCUGGAGAACUGAGGGGGGCUGCUCCUAGUACGAGAGGACCGGAGUGGACGCAUCACUGGUGUUCGGGUUG